rnacentral:RNase_P_RNA from 2 species
UGAGACCUCUUGAUGGCCGCGGCCGUGAUCUUCAUUGGGAUCGGCUGAGGAACUUCCGGGCUCCAUAGAACACGAUGGCGGAUAACGUCCGCCCAGGGUGACCUGAGAGAUAGCGCAACAGAGAACAGACCGCCCGUCCUCGACGGGUAAGGGUGAAACGGCGGUGUAAGAGACCACCGGGCCUCUGGUAACAGUAGGUCGCAUGGCAAGCCUCAUCGGGAGCAAGGCCAAGCAGAUGGCGGUAAGGGCUGCUCGCCCGUGUCAUCGGGUAGGCUGCUAGAGCCUGGCGGUAACGUCAGGUCGAGAUGGAUGGCCAUCCGUGCCGUGCGUUCGCGCACGGCACGACAGAACCCGGGGUAUAAGAGGUCUCAUUUU